CCAGAGGUCUUGGUCCUAUAGCUAGGGAUUUUGAAAAGUUGAUUGACAGCCUGCAAGCCAAGAUUCUGCAGAGCUGGCUGGGUCAUGAUUCUAAGUUGGUUGAGCAGCUAACAACUGUCUCUCUUAAGGUGGGAUUCAGACACAGAGGCUGUGUAUCUGAGAGUCUCCCUGAAGAAAUCAUCUUUGAAGCUGCCUGACUUGGAUUAUCCUCAAGAAAAAGAAUGAGUGUCUAUAAUUUAUGAUUUAUUGUCUUGAAGAAUAUCAAGUAUGGAAAAGCUCUUCAUGGAUAUGGAGAAGAAAACUUGUCCAUAACAUAAGGUGUAUCUCCACAGGUUGCUAUGAGCCAUUCUCUCAGGGAAUCAGCAUGGUACCUGGACUAAUUUAUAAAGGAGAUGAAAAAGAAAUGGAGUCGUUAUAAUGAACACCAUUAAUUCACCACUCCAGACUUCACUGUUUGAACAGCAAGUAUCAAGCGACUCAAUUGUCAUUUGUCGAUUCAAUUCUGCUAUUUUGCCUGUCGGAAAUGACCGGCAAGGAGAACUGCGUGCAGACUGCUGUACGGCUGCUAAUUAGCAUAUAUAUUGUUUGUCCUGGUAUAAAUUUAUAGCAAACAGCAAUAUUUUACACUCCAGUAAAGUUAAUAAAUGAAGCUUUGGGC
rnacentral:lncRNA from 1 species